GAUAAAUAGUUUUCACCUGAGCCAGGCUUGCGUUACUUCCGUGACUUCAGUCUUUGCUCUCCUACCCUCUCACUUACUAGCUGAGCGAUCUGGGGGAGGUUAUCUAACCUUCCUGAGCCUCGUAUUCCUCAUACCGAAAACGGAGGUAACCAGAGUAACUACAUCCAAAAAUUGAGAGAACUGAAUGAGAUAAAUAAGGCGGGGUGUUUUUAACACGUCCUGCACAUGAAGACAAUACCAUGAUCAUGAAAUCACUAGAGAAAUCUGUCGGGGAAAGUCUGUGAGGAUAGUCUCAUCUGUAACACAUGUGUCCUCCAGAAAAAAAGUAUAUGGCUUUCAGACUAAAUUUUACUCCUUAUCCAAAUGGAAAGAAUAUCUAAAGAGACAAAGUGUAAUAAUCCAAGAAUCUUCUAUUGUGAGAAUAAUGGAGAUUGACAUUGUGAAGUAUAUAGAAAAACAUAAAAGACCACUGGAUCAACAUCACACAUGGAAUAUAUUUGUAAAGAGACAGACAGAAUUAUGUCAUACCCAGAGGGGAUAAUAAUCAGAGGUGAAGAAAAGGACCAGCUGACUUUCCCAAGGCCACCUGGUUUGUGAGUAAUAGAACUUGGAGGAUCCAUGUUUUUAAAUACAGUCGGCCCUCAUAUCCACGGGUUCUGCGUCCACAGGAAUGGUGGGCAGACCAAGGGACUUGAGCAUCUAUAGAUUUUGAUAUCUAGAGGGGGUUCUGGAACCAAUUCCCUGUGGAGACUGAGGGAUGACUGUAAUGCAUUUUUCAAAUAUCUAAAAAGCAUAAUAUUCACUCAAAAAUACUUACAAAAGUAAUACUUGAGUUUCCUUUGUUUUCUACAAACUUUGUGCUCUUUUCUUUUUCUUUUUUGUGCUAAUUCUAUAGCUUUUCAAAGACAGGUUCAUUAUUUUACUUCAAAGUAUUUUCUUUUUUUCCCCUUAAACUGUUAUCAAGACAGAAGAGUCUUUAUUCAGUCAUAUGCAAAAUUCAUAAAUUAUAGUUUUCAUUAAAAUGUAGAAUUUUAUUUCAUCCAGAUCUACAAAAAUCUGUAAAAUUAAGUCAGCAUUCUUGAGUCCUACAAAUGUUAGAGUUCUCACCCUGAUGCUAGACUCCAGCUCAGUUUUAGAUGUGGUUGUAUUUUUUGUAAAAGAUAUGAGCAAGACAAUUAUUUCAAAGAGAGUAGGCUGCAAGAAUCUCUAAUAAUCCUGAAAGAGGAAUUAAGUAAGCCAUGAAACUCAUGUCUGGGUAUGACCCCAGGGGAUCCAAGAAAAGAUUCAUGUAGCAUAAGAACUUUUGCUUAUCUCUGAAUCUCAGGAACAAAGUCAUAACAGUCCAGCUAAUUUAGAAACUUCAAAUGUAUUGAAUCAACUGACUUCAUUGAAAUAUGACGAAUU
rnacentral:lncRNA from 1 species